rnacentral:lncRNA from 1 species
CAGUUUUUGGGAAGAAUCUCUCUUCCUAUAAAAGUGUAAUACAAAUUCACUGAUAUACACGACUCAAAUGUUAUAAACUAUUAACAUUACUAACAAAACGGUGAUUCUUUGGUGUUGGUGGUGUGAAUCCGAGGAAUAAAUGCGUGUGACUAUCAGACUAUGUAUAGUGUAGUUUUGUGGUUUGAGACUUUCAACUAGUCUUAUGUUGUGUGAUAAAAAGCAAGGUAACGUGGGAGCUGCAGCUGCUAACGUCUCGAGUAGAUUUUUCUUUUCCUAUAAAUUUCCUUCAGCAAAAAUAACAUCUAGGGGUGCAAUCAUAUAAUUAUCAUCACAGACAAUGUGAUAGGAUGCAGAUUGUUGUCGGAGGAUAACUAGCCGGUGAAUCAGAUUAUUUAACUCCUCUUGAUUUUGGAUUUGUGCCAUGAUGACAUCCAAAUUCCCCCUACGGACUUGCGGUUCACAAACUCAAUCUCUACAUAAUGAUAGUUCCAUGUUCCACAAUUACUUCUUGGGCACUAUGACUCUAAUUUUCUAGAACCGCAAAGAAAGAAAUCUUGAGAAAGAUUAUAGUGAUUGUAAGAAGUUGUACCCCCUCUGAUGUUCACUCAGAAAGAAUCACCAUUCUUUACACCAACAAGAAUGUUCACCAUCAACCGUUAUGGAUAAUGGAGUUUAAGAGGAUGAGGAUGUGUAGAAUAUUUUGUAAUGAAAGAUCAAUUCAAAAAAGUUGAUAAUACUACUUCACAAACCAAGCUUAAUACAAAUGUAAAAUAAGAGAAUUUCUUCAUUGUAGCUUUGGAAAGGCAAGUGAAUGUGAAUUUUCAAAAUUUAGUAUAACUUAUAAUAUUGUUUCAUUAAUAUAAUAUGUAAGAAGUCUUUUGUUAUCAUCAAAUCUCAAAUUUAUCUUUAUAAUUUUACUAGAUAUAAAUAAAGAAAAAUUAUUGAAGAUUGUGUUAUUGUUGAUGAUAAUUUGAACACUUAUCAUGUUUUUUGUAUAAUUUAAUUAUGUAGUCGACCAACGGAUAACUGUAAGUCUAAAUGUAAAGACAACCCUAUCUGUUACAUAGGGAUGAUAACUCAACAAUAGAACAGGACAAGUAAAUAACACUACGCCUGCACCGGAAUCGGAAGAUACGAAGACAAAGGUUGAA